UUUAUGGAGAGUUUGAUCCUGGCUCAGGAUGAACGCUGGCGGCGUGCCUAAUACAUGCAAGUCGAGCGAACGGACGAGAAGCUUGCUUCUCUGAUGUUAGCGGCGGACGGGUGAGUAACACGUGGAUAACCUACCUAUAAGACUGGGAUAACUUCGGGAAACCGGAGCUAAUACCGGAUGAUAUUUUGAACCGCAUGGUUCAAAAGUGAAAGACGGUCUUGCUGUCACUUAUAGAUGGAUCCGCGCUGCAUUAGCUAGUUGGUAAGGUAA
rnacentral:rRNA from 1 species